rnacentral:rRNA from 1 species
CACGGAUCCAGAGUUUGAUCAUGGCUCAGAUUGAACGCUGGCGGCAGGCCUAACACAUGCAAGUCGAGCGGAAACGAGUUAUCUGAACCUUCGGGGGACGAUAACGGCGUCGAGCGGCGGACGGGUGAGUAAUGCCUAGGAAAUUGCCCUGAUGUGGGGGAUAACCAUUGGAAACGAUGGCUAAUACCGCAUGAUGCCUACGGGCCAAAGAGGGGGACCUUCGGGCCUCUCGCGUCAGGAUAUGCCUAGGUGGGAUUAGCUAGUUGGUGAGGUAAGGGCUCACCAAGGCGACGAUCCCUAGCUGGUCUGAGAGGAUGAUCAGCCACACUGGAACUGAGACACGGUCCAGACUCCUACGGGAGGCAGCAGUGGGGAAUAUUGCACAAUGGGCGCAAGCCUGAUGCAGCCAUGCUGCGUGUAUGAAGAAGGCCUUCGGGUUGUAAAGUACUUUCAGUCGUGAGGAAGGUAGUGUAGUUAAUAGCUGCAUUAUUUGACGUUAGCGACAGAAGAAGCACCGGCUAACUCCGUGCCAGCAGCCGCGGUAAUACGGAGGGUGCGAGCGUUAAUCGGAAUUACUGGGCGUAAAGCGCAUGCAGGUGGUUUGUUAAGUCAGAUGUGAAAGCCCGGGGCUCAACCUCGGAAUAGCAUUUGAAACUGGCAGACUAGAGUACUGUAGAGGGGGGUAGAAUUUCAGGUGUAGCGGUGAAAUGCGUAGAGAUCUGAAGGAAUACCGGUGGCGAAGGCGGCCCCCUGGACAGAUACUGACACUCAGAUGCGAAAGCGUGGGGAGCAAACAGGAUUAGAUACCCUGGUAGUCCACGCCGUAAACGAUGUCUACUUGGAGGUUGUGGCCUUGAGCCGUGGCUUUCGGAGCUAACGCGUUAAGUAGACCGCCUGGGGAGUACGGUCGCAAGAUUAAAACUCAAAUGAAUUGACGGGGGCCCGCACAAGCGGUGGAGCAUGUGGUUUAAUUCGAUGCAACGCGAAGAACCUUACCUACUCUUGACAUCCAGAGAACUUUCCAGAGAUGGAUUGGUGCCUUCGGGAACUCUGAGACAGGUGCUGCAUGGCUGUCGUCAGCUCGUGUUGUGAAAUGUUGGGUUAAGUCCCGCAACGAGCGCAACCCUUAUCCUUGUUUGCCAGCGAGUAAUGUCGGGAACUCCAGGGAGACUGCCGGUGAUAAACCGGAGGAAGGUGGGGACGACGUCAAGUCAUCAUGGCCCUUACGAGUAGGGCUACACACGUGCUACAAUGGCGCAUACAGAGGGCGGCCAACUUGCGAAAGUGAGCGAAUCCCAAAAAGUGCGUCGUAGUCCGGAUUGGAGUCUGCAACUCGACUCCAUGAAGUCGGAAUCGCUAGUAAUCGUGGAUCAGAAUGCCACGGUGAAUACGUUCCCGGGCCUUGUACACACCGCCCGUCACACCAUGGGAGUGGGCUGCAAAAGAAGUAGGUAGUUUAACCUUCGGGGGGACGCUUACCACUUUGUGGUUCAUGACUGGGGUGAAGUCGUAACAAGGUAACCGUAAGCUUCAC